rnacentral:lncRNA from 1 species
CUCAUCCUUUCAGUUUUCUUCGUAGUGAUGGCGGUGUUGAUUUCUUCGCCUGCAGUGAAAGCUAGUGGGUUUCAAUUUGCCUAAGCUGUUGUGGAAUUAAUCCCAAAAUAACAUCCGGAACUACGUUAUCCUCCCCAUCACAGAGAGAUACAAAUAGUGUAAAACGAAGACCCAGAUUUAUAAGCUAAUUGUUGAAACAGAAUACUUUUUGUUAAGGCGAGAAAAGGGGUUGAUAAAGUUCAAGAUUCGGAAGUGGGUAAGUUUGUAUUAAUGAAAUGAGUAAUGGAUCGGAGGAUUGAAGGUAAUUAAUGGCGAUUUCUAACUCACUUGGAUAAGAAAGUGCACGCAAUAAUACUAUUUCUGAUACGAAGGUGGAAGUUGCAAUAGUGUUGGUAAUUUUGCGGAUUUUUCUGGGACGAGAAUGGAGUUGGUGGGAGGUACAAUGACAACAAUAUCAAUGGCGGUGGGGGAUGGGGGGUUAGGUGAAGAUGGUGAUGGAGAUGCUGAUUCUUGGGCCAU